UACGGCUAUACCACCCUGAACACGCCCGAUCUCGUCUGAUCUCGGGAGCUAAGCAGGGUCGGGCUUGGUUAGUACUUGGCUAGGGAGGAGACUUUCUGUGAAAGAAGUUGUCUCAAUAC
rnacentral:rRNA from 1 species